rnacentral:rRNA from 1 species
GGUGCGGAAUAGCUCACUGGUCAAGUGGUCGGGCGCGGACAAUGUAACGGGGCUCAAGCUUGGAACCGAAGCCACGGACUUCACUUGAUCUUCGGAUCGCAGUGGAGUGGUAGGGGAGCGUUCCCAUGCCGGCGAAGCGGCAGCGGAAGCUAGUCGUGGAGGCAUGGGAAGUGAGAAUGCUGGCACGAGUAACGAAAGAGGAGUGAGAAACUCCUCCGCCGAAUGCCCAAGGGUUCCUGAGUAAAGCUAAUCUGCUCAGGGUUAGUCGGGACCUAAGCCGAGGCCGACAGGCGUAGGCGAUGGACAACAGGUUGAUAUUCCUGUACCACGUAGCGAUCGCUUGACCGAUGGCGGGGACGAUAAU